UACGUAGGGCGCAAGCGUUGUCCGGAAUUAUUGGGCGUAAAGAGUUCGUAGGCGGCUUGUCACGUCGGGUGUGAAAGCCCGGGGCUUAACCCCGGGUCUGCAUUCGAUACGGGCAGGCUAGAGUGUGGUAGGGGAGAUCGGAAUUCCUGGUGUAGCGGUGAAAUGCGCAGAUAUCAGGAGGAACACCGGUGGCGAAGGCGGGUCUCUGGGCAACAACUGACGCUGAGGAGCGAAAGCGUGGGGAGCGAACAGG
rnacentral:rRNA from 1 species